rnacentral:rRNA from 1 species
GCCGCGUGUGUGAAGAAGGCCCUCGGGUUGUAAAGCACUUUCAGCGAGGAAGAACGCCUAUCGGUUAAUACCCGGUAGGAAAGACAUCACUCGCAGAAGAAGCACCGGCUAACUCCGUGCCAGCAGCCGCGGUAAUACGGAGGGUGCAAGCGUUAAUCGGAAUUACUGGGCGUAAAGCGCGCGUAGGUGGCUUGAUAAGCCGGUUGUGAAAGCCCCGGGCUCAACCUGGGAACGGCAUCCGGAACUGUCAGGCUAGAGUGCAGGAGAGGAAGGUAGAAUUCCCGGUGUAGCGGUGAAAUGCGUAGAGAUCGGGAGGAAUACCAGUGGCGAAGGCGGCCUUCUGGACUGACACUGACACUGAGGUGCGAAAGCGUGGGUAGCAAACAGGAUUAGAUACCCUGGUAGUCCACGCCGUAAACGAUGUCGACCAGCCGUUGGGUGCCUAGAGCACUUUGUGGCGAAGUUAACGCGAUAAGUCGACCGCCUGGGGAGUACGGCCGCAAGGUUAAAACUCAAAUGAAUUGACGGGGGCCCGCACAAGCGGUGGAGCAUGUGGUUUAAUUCGAUGCAACGCGAAGAACCUUACCUACCCUUGACAUCUACAGAAGCCGGAAGAGAUUCUGGUGUGCCUUCGGGAACUGUAAGACAGGUGCUGCAUGGCUGUCGUCAGCUCGUGUUGUGAAAUGUUGGGUUAAGUCCCGUAACGAGCGCAACCCUUGUCCUUAUUUGCCAGCGAGUAAUGUCGGGAACUCUAAAGGAGACUGCCGGUGACAAACCGGAGGAAGGUGGGG